GACAUAGGUGGCAAACGUUAUCCGGAAUUAUUGGGCGUAAAGGGUGCGUAGGUGGUUCAAUAAGUUACUGGUGGGAAAUCGGGGCUCAACCCCGUGGAAGUCAGUAAUACUAUUAAACUAGAGGAUCGGAGAGGUUAACGGAACUCCAUGUGUAGCGGUAAAAUGCAUAAAUAUAUGGAUGAACACCAAACAGCGAAGGCAGUUAACUAUUCGAUUCCUGACGUUGAGGCACGAAAGCGUGGGGAGCAAGACGG
rnacentral:rRNA from 1 species